AGAGUUUGAUCCUGGCUCAGGAUGAACGCUGGCGGCGUGCUUAACACAUGCAAGUCGAGCGAAGCACUCGGCCUUGAAUCUCGGAGGAAAGGCGGUUUGACUGAGCGGCGGACGGGUGAGUAACGCGUGGGCAACCUGCCCCAUACGGGGGGAUAACAGUUAGAAAUGACUGCUAAUACCGCAUAAGACCGCGGUGCCGCAUGGCACAGCGGUAAAAACUCCGGUGGUAUGGGAUGGGCCCGCGUCUGAUUAGCUAGUUGGCGGGGUAACGGCCCACCAAGGCGACGAUCAGUAGCCGACCUGAGAGGGCGACCGGCCACAUUGGGACUGAGACACGGCCCAAACUCCUACGGGAGGCAGCAGUGGGGAAUAUUGCACAAUGGGGGAAACCCUGAUGCAGCGACGCCGCGUGAGCGAUGAAGUAUUUCGGUAUGUAAAGCUCUAUCAGCAGGGAAGAAGAUGACGGUACCUGACUAAGAAGCCCCGGCUAACUACGU
rnacentral:rRNA from 1 species